rnacentral:tRNA from 1 species
GGCUAUGUAGCUCAGUUGGUUAGAGCACCGCACUCAUAAUGCGGGGGUCACAAGUUCAAGUCUCGUCAUAGCUACCA